rnacentral:rRNA from 1 species
AUGAGACCAACUGAUUCGCCAUUUUGGAAGGGGCUUAUGAGAGUUAAGACAGCCUUCUUUAAUAGAACAAAGUUUAUAGUCGGCGAUGGUAACGACACUCGAUUCUGGGAGGACACCUGGCUUGGUGAGACACCUUUGGCAUUACAGUACCCAACUUUGUAUCGUAUUGUGCAUCGCCGUGAUGCGCUUGUGGCAACGAUUAUGCAGGCCACCCCCCUUAACUGA